UGCUGGAGACCAUUGACCAGCUGUACUUGGAGUAUGCCAAGCGGGCUGCACCCUUCAACAACUGGAUGGAGGGGGCCAUGGAGGACCUGCAGGACACCUUCAUUGUGCACACCAUUGAGGAGAUCCAGUUGCAGAAUACUGGAUUUAAAAGGUUUUGCCAGGAGCUAAGGAAGCUCAUGUUGUGGGAGGUCAUCUGGGUAGUGAGCCUCUGGAGCAGCCCUUCUCCCUGACCUGUGAGGUGGUGAACACACCAGAGAGGUUGCUGUUAAUUUGA
rnacentral:sRNA from 1 species